rnacentral:tRNA from 1 species
GGCAUGAUACCUCGCGUGCAAUCGAGUGCUUGACUUAAAAUCCGUGGUCGCCGUAGCGCCUUGGCGGUUCGAGUCCGCCUCGAGGCACCA